AUGAAACUUGGUCCUAGGGAUGCCUGGUGGGAGAAAGUAGAAAAAUUGGAAGACUUGCUUGAGACCACAGCAAACCAAGUAGAGCAUGCUGCUGUGAUAUUGGACCACAAUCAUGAUCUGCAGGAUAGGCUUGACAAAUUAGAGGCCUCACUGCAAGCAGCAAAUAUUUCAAAGUUCUCUUGUUCUCUUGUUGAUAUUUUGCAGCAAAAAGUCAAAUUGGUAGAAGAACGCUUCCAAGCAUGUAAUUGUGAAAUGCAUUCUCAGAUUGAACUGUAUGAGCACUCAAUAGUGGAAUUUCACGAUACUCUUAGCAAACUAAUAGAGGAAAGUGAGAAAAGAUCACUGGAGAAUUUUACAGGAAACAUGCCUUCGGAACUAUGGAGCAAAAUUUCCCUUUUAACUGAUGGAUGGUUACUGGAGAAGAAAAUAUCUUACAAUGACGCAAGUAUGUUGCGAGAAAUGGUUCAUAAAAGGGACAGUCGUCUUCGGGAAGCAUACUUGUCAUACAGAGGUACCGAAAACAGGGAAGUUAUGGACAACUUACUUAAGAUGGCAUUACCAGGAACUAGUUCUGGUUUGCACAUUGCCCACAUAGCAGCAGAGAUGGCUCCUGUCGCGAAGGUUGGUGGCCUGGCAGAUGUGAUAUCUGGUCUCGGGAAGGCACUUCAGAAAAAAGGCCAUCUAGUAGAGAUCAUUCUUCCCAAAUACGACUGCAUGCAGGUUGACCAAGUUAGCAAUCUAAGGGUUUUAGAUGUUCUUGUGCAGUCCUACUUCGAAGGAAAUAUGUUCAACAACAAAAUUUGGACUGGGACUGUUGAAGGCCUACCCGUCUACUUUAUUGAGCCACAGCAUCCAGCGAUGUUCUUUUCGAGGGCUCAGUACUAUGGAGAGCAUGAUGACUUCAAACGUUUUUCGUACUUCAGCCGUGCGGCACUAGAAUUACUUUAUCAAUCUGGGAAGAAAGUUGAUAUAAUCCACUGCCAUGACUGGCAAACUGCAUUUGUUGCACCUCUUUAUUGGGAUGUAUAUGCAAAUCUAGGCUUCAACUCAGCUAGAAUUUGCUUCACCUGUCAUAAUUUUGAAUAUCAAGGAACUGCUCCAGCUCGUGAUUUAGCAUGGUGUGGCCUUGAUGUUGAGCACCUAGACAGACCAGACAGGAUGCGGGACAAUUCGCAUGGAAGAAUAAAUGCUGUUAAGGGAGCAGUUGUGUAUUCAAACAUCGUGACAACUGUCUCGCCAACGUAUGCACUAGAGGUUCGCUCAGAGGGUGGGCGUGGACUCCAAGAUACACUUAAAGUACAUUCCAGGAAAUUUCUUGGGAUACUUAAUGGAAUCGACACAGAUACAUGGAACCCUUCCACAGAUAGGUAUCUGAAGGUCCAGUAUAAUGCUAAGGAUCUCCAGGGAAAGGCAGCCAAUAAAGCAGCCCUCAGAGAGCAACUAAACCUGGCUUCUGCAUAUCCUUCACAACCACUGGUUGGUUGCAUUACCAGGCUAGUUGCUCAGAAGGGUGUACAUCUUAUCAGGCAUGCAAUCUACAAAACAGCUGAAUUAGGAGGACAGUUUGUCCUUCUGGGUUCAAGUCCAGUACCAGAAAUUCAGAGGGAGUUUGAAGGUAUUGCAGACCAUUUUCAGAACAACAACAAUAUCCGGCUGAUUUUGAAGUAUGAUGAUGCGCUGUCUCAUUGCAUAUAUGCUGCGUCUGACAUGUUCAUUGUUCCCUCUAUAUUUGAGCCAUGUGGCCUCACUCAGAUGAUAGCCAUGAGAUAUGGUUCUGUGCCGAUUGUUCGGAAAACUGGUGGGCUGAAUGACAGUGUCUUUGACUUCGACGACGAAACAAUACCCAUGGAGGUGCGGAACGGCUUUACAUUUGUCAAGGCCGACGAACAGGGCCUAAGCAGCGCGAUGGAGAGGGCGUUCAACUGCUACACGAGGAAGCCCGAGGUCUGGAAACAGCUCGUGCAGAAAGACAUGACGAUCGAUUUCAGCUGGGACACCUCGGCUUCGCAGUACGAGGACAUCUACCAGAAGGCGGUGGCUCGAGCGAGGGCGGUGGCGUGA
rnacentral:rRNA from 1 species